GAUGUGGAUUAAUUCGAUGCAACGCGAAGAACCUUACCUGGUCUUGACAUCCCGGAGACCCUUAGGUAACUAGGGGGUGCUUCCAUCUGGAAGAAUCUGGAGACAGGUGCUGCAUGGCUGUCGUCAGCUCGUGUCGUGAGAUGUUGGGUUAAGUCCCGCAACGAGCGCAACCCUUGCCUUUAGUUGCCAGCAGUUCGGCUGGGCACUCUAAAGGGACUGCCGGUGUUAAACCGGAGGAAGGUGGGGAUGACGUCAAGUCCUCAUGGCCUUUAUGACCAGGGCUACACACGUACUACAAUGGCCGAUACAAAGGGCAGCGACACUGCGAGGUGAAGCCAAUCCCGUAAAAUCGGUCUCAGUCCGGAUUGGAGUCUGCAACUCGACUCCAUGAAGUUGGAAUCGCUAGUAAUCGUGGAUCAGCAUGCCACGGUGAAUACGUUCCCGGGCCUU
rnacentral:rRNA from 1 species